GGGGGGAUGCCCGAGCGGCCAAAGGGAGCGGUCUGUAAAAUCGCCGGCGUACGCCUACGGAGGUUCGAAUCCUCCUCCCCCCAC
rnacentral:tRNA from 1 species